rnacentral:misc_RNA from 1 species
AAGACUAUAGACCUGCGGAGUACCUGCGGAGGGAUCAUUAAAGAAUGAAUUUGGAAUUUUAUUCCAAACUAUCUGAACUUGUGGUAUUAAUGAAAUUUGAAUUGGGCUUAAAAAUGGUGUUUUCGUAAGAGAAUAUCGGCUCAAACAACUUUUAUAAACUCUUUUAUUAUUUGACUGAAUAUGAAGUAAAAUUAAUCCGAAAUGGAUUAAAAAAGGUUUAAACAACUUUCAACAAUGGAU